rnacentral:misc_RNA from 1 species
UUUGAUAAGAUCACAGUAAAUUUUCUUCAGUUUCAUAUUGAUAUUUUGUGAUAUGCAUUGUAUUGGACAAUAAAAAACACAGUGAAUACACAGUUAUUGAAUUCUGGUUACUCCACUCUACGGAAUACAUCAUGUGGAUCCUUAAAUGGACAAAUUGUGUGAAAUAAGAAAACACUCACGUAGUGGCACGGAUCAACAUUUCUGUGCAGCAACAAAGGCUCAGAUGAAUUAUGUGAAAUAGGAGAACACUCACAUUGAUCCACAUUUAAUUCUACAAAGACUGAGCACAGAUGUUUAGUACAUUAUUGCAACGCUAUGAGGUUCUGUGAACAUGUGAACCAAAGGAGGCCCUCUGCACGGCAGCGUCCACCGCUGUCACACGUCAUCCCCGGCGCCGUCGAGCGCCUUGAGGCCCUCCGCCACCGCCCGCGCACGAUUCUGAGCCUGCCUCUCCACCGCCACGAAGUAGAGGCCUGUACGGAAACACCAGCGGCGCGGGACCGCGGCAACGGGAAGAAACGGUUAGGGGAAGACCGCGACAGGAUGGAUAGAGCAGAGCAGCAGGGGCUAGGGUUUUUAGUUACGGGCGCUUACUCACGGCGCUGCCCAGGGCGCA